GUUCCGGUCUCGCGCAAUGGAAGCCUGUGAACCAUGUCAGGCGGGGAACCGAGCAGCAUUAAGC
rnacentral:SRP_RNA from 1 species